rnacentral:rRNA from 1 species
ACCUAUGGCUGUUCUGGACAGAAUGUACAAAUCUUGUUUGACUGCACAAGCUAAGCAGUCACAGACCUGUCUAGCAGUUGGAUAAGAGACCAUCUGGGUAUGCUGGAAGUUGUAGAUU